AAUCCUACGGGAGGCAGCAGUGGGGAAUAUUGCACAAUGGGGGAAACCCUGAUGCAGCGACGCCGCGUGAGAGAAGAAGUAUUUCGGUAUGUAAAGCUCUAUCAGCAGGGAAGAAAAUGACGGUACCUGACUAAGAAGCUCCGGCUAAAUACGUGCCAGCAGCCGCGGUAAUACGUAUGGAGCAAGCGUUAUCCGGAUUUACUGGGUGUAAAGGGAGCGUAGACGGCAGGGCAAGUCUGAUGUGAAAGGCCAGGGCUCAACCCUGGGACUGCAUUGGAAACUGUUUAGCUGGAGUGUCGGAGAGG
rnacentral:rRNA from 1 species